CCCGUGUUUAUUUUACCUUGUUGCUUCGGCGGGCCCGCCUUAACUGGCCGCCGGGGGGCUCACGCCCCCGGGCCCGCGCCCGCCGAAGACACCCUCGAACUCUGUCUGAAGAUUGAAGUCUGAGUGAAAAUAUAAAUUAUUUAAAACUUUCAACAACGGAUCUCUUGGUUCCGGCAUCGAUGAAGAACGCAGCGAAAUGCGAUACGUAAUGUGAAUUGCAAAUUCAGUGAAUCAUCGAGUCUUUGAACGCACAUUGCGCCCCCUGGUAUUCCGGGGGGCAUGCCUGUCCGAGCGUCAUUGCUGCCCUCAAGCCCGGCUUGUGUGUUGGGCCCCGUCCUCCGAUCUCCGGGGGACGGGCCCGAAAGGCAGCGGCGGCACCGCGUCCGGUCCUCGAGCGUAUGGGGCUUUGUCACCCGCUCUGUAGGCCCGGCCGGCGCUUGCCGAUCAACCCAAAUUUUUAUCCAGGUUGACCUCGGAUCAGGUAGGGAUACCCGCUGAACUUAAGCAUAUCAAUAAGGCGGAG
rnacentral:rRNA from 1 species